CAGGUUCCGGUUCACGCCCGGCGCGGGCGACCCGGCGACC
rnacentral:ncRNA from 1 species